rnacentral:snRNA from 1 species
GUGUUAGCUUCGGCAGCACAUAUACUAAAAUUGGAACAAAACAGAGAAGAUUAGCAUGGCCCCUGCACAAGGAUGACACACAAAUUCGUAAAGUGUUCCAUAUAUAA